UGAUCGUGGUCUGCAGCACGCGCCU
rnacentral:siRNA from 1 species